AGUAGAUGACGGUACCCGAAUAAGAAGCACCGGCUAACUACGUGCCAGCAGCCGCGGUAAUACGUAGGGUGCGAGCGUUAAUCGGAGUUACUGGGCGUAAAGCGUGCGCAGGCGGUUUUGUAAGUCAGAUGUGAAAUCCCCGGGCUCAACCUGGGAACUGCAUUUGAGACUGCAAGAC
rnacentral:rRNA from 1 species